rnacentral:rRNA from 1 species
AGAAGUUUAUUUCUGGUUCAGGACGGAACAGCUGGCGGGGGUGCUUACACAAUGCAAUUCGAACGGAAAAGGCCUUGCUUGCAGGGUAUUCGAGUGGCGAAACGGGUGAGUAACACGUGGGUGAUCUGCCCUGUACUUCGGGAUAAGCCUGGGAAACUGGGUCUAAUACCGGAUAGGACCGUCUUUUAGUGUAGGCGGUGGAAAGACUUCGGUCGGUAGGGGAUGAGCUUGCGGCCUAUCAGCUUGUUGGUGGGGUAAUGGCCUACCAAGGCGUCGACGGGUAGCCGGCCUGAGAGGGUGUACGGCCACAUUGGGACUGAGAUACGGCCCAGACUCCUACGGGAGGCAGCAGUGGGGAAUAUUGCACAAUGGACGCAAGUCUGAUGCAGCGACGCCGCGUGGGGGAUGAAGGCUUUCGGGUUGUAAACUCCUUUCAGUACAGAAGAAGCGAAAGUGACGGUAUGUGCAGAAGAAGCACCGGCUAACUACGUGCCAGCAGCCGCGGUAAUACGUAGGGUGCGAGCGUUGUCCGGAAUUAUUGGGCGUAAAGAGCUCGUAGGCGGUUUGUUGCGCUUGCUGUGAAAACCUGGGGCUUAACUUCGGGAUUGCAGUGGGUACGGGCAGACUAGAGUGUGGUAGGGGUAAUUGGAAUUCCUGGUGUAGCGGUGGAAUGCGCAGAUAUCAGGAGGAACACCGAUGGCGAAGGCAGGUUACUGGGCCACCACUGACGCUGAGGAGCGAAAGCGUGGGUAGCGAACAGGAUUAGAUACCCUGGUAGUCCACGCCGUAAACGUUGGGCACUAAAUGUGGGGCCUUUCCAUGGGUUCUGCGCCGUAGCUAACGCA